rnacentral:misc_RNA from 1 species
AAGUCGUAACAAGGUUUCCGUAGGUGAACCUGCGGAAGGAUCAUUCACACGUAUCCACGUAUUCACCCCUGUGAACGCGUUGUCUCCUCCCCGUCGCAUUCGUGCGGCGGGCCAGGUGUCGCUGGUCUGUUGGAGUUCGCUCCAGCAGGCGAGCGGCGCUACGCAUACACACCUUUAUCACCCCCUUCUUUGCGAGUUGACUUUGUACGGUUGUAUGAUUUAUUUCAUACACACACGUUUCAUUUUAUGUAAACGUUACACAACAACUCUUAGCAAUGGAUAUCUCGGUUCUC